rnacentral:rRNA from 1 species
GGGGAAUCUUAGACAAUGGGGGAAACCCUGAUCUAGCCAUGCCGCGUGAGCGAUGAAGGCCUUAGGGUUGUAAAGCUCUUUCAGCUGGGAAGAUAAUGACGGUACCAGCAGAAGAAGCCCCGGCUAACUCCGUGCCAGCAGCCGCGGUAAUACGGAGGGGGCUAGCGUUGUUCGGAAUUACUGGGCGUAAAGCGCGCGUAGGCGGACAUUUAAGUCGGGGGUGAAAUCCCGGGGCUCAGCCCCGGAACUGCCUUCGAUACUGGGUGUCUGGAGUUCGAGAGAGGUGAGUGGAAUUCCGAGUGUAGAGGUGAAAUUCGUAGAUAUUCGGAGGAACACCAGUGGCGAAGGCGGCUCACUGGCUCGAUACUGACGCUGAGGUGCGAAAGCGUGGGGAGCAAAC